rnacentral:rRNA from 1 species
UACCAGCACCCCGAGUGGUCGGGACGAUUAUUGGGCCUAAAGCAUCCGUAGCCGGUCCUACAAGUCUUCCGUUAAAUCCAGCUGCUUAACAGAUGGGCUGCGGAGGAUACUACAAGGCUAGGAGGCGGGAGAGGCAAGCGGUACUCAGUGGGUAGGGGUAAAAUCCUCUGAUCCAUUGAAGACCACCAGUGGCGAAGGCGGCUUGCCAGAACGCGCUCGACGGUGAGGGAUGAAAGCUGGGGGGAGCAAACCGG